AUUGAACGCUGGCGGCAUGCCUUACACAUGCAAGUCGAACGGCAGCGCGGGGCAACCUGGCGGCGAGUGGCGAACGGGUGAGUAAUAUAUCGGAACGUACCCUGGAGUGGGGGAUAACGUAGCGAAAGUUACGCUAAUACCGCAUACGAUCUAAGGAUGAAAGUGGGGGAUCGCAAGACCUCAUGCUCUUGGAGCGGCCGAUAUCUGAUUAGCUAGUUGGUGGGGUAAAGGCCUACCAAGGCAUCGAUCAGUAGCUGGUCUGAGAGGACGACCAGCCACACUGGAACUGAGACACGGUCCAGACUCCUACGGGAGGCAGCAGUGGGGAAUUUUGGACAAUGGGCGCAAGCCUGAUCCAGCAAUGCCGCGUGAGUGAAGAAGGCCUCGGGUUGUAAAGCUCUUUUGUCAGGGAAGAAAACGGUGAGGGCUAAUAUCCCCUUGCUAAUGACGGUACCUGAAGAAUAAGCACCGGCUAACUACGUGCCAGCAGCCGCGGUAAUACGUAGGGUGCAAGCGUUAAUCGGAAUUACUGGGCGUAAAGCGUGCGCAGGCGGUUUUGUAAGUCUGUCGUGAAAUCCCCGGGCUCAACCUGGGGAAUUGCGAUGGAGACUGCAAGGCUAGAAUCUGGCAGAGGGGGGUAGAAUUCCACGUGUAGCAGUGAAAUGCGUAGAGAUGUGGAGGAACACCGAUGGCGAAGGCAGCCCCUGGGUCAAGAUUGACGCUCAUGCACGAAAGCGUGGGGAGCAAACAGGAUUAGAUACCCUGGUAGU
rnacentral:rRNA from 1 species